rnacentral:lncRNA from 1 species
UCUUUGGAAGUUGUCAACAUUCCACAUUUCGUGGAUGCCAUUUUUAUCUUGCACAAUCUCCAUCUUCAACAUACAAGUCGUACAGGUCUUUAUAUCAUUUGUCCGUGUUAUCUCCCGCUUGUCACUGCUUUAGUCUCAUAGAUUCCGUUGACCCCACGCGUGGACUGUGUAACCACGGUAGAUAAUGCAAUCGCUUGUUGCUUGUGUGAUUAACAAUGUCGAUUCAAACUAGUCCUACACGCAUGUGUGUUUCCUGAAGACAAGAAUAAUCCACCUAUAUUACUGAGAAAUGUCAAGCUUUGAUCUCUCUGAUUGGACAGGCAUAUAUUAUUGUCAGUUUUGCUUUUGGCUCUGGCCAGGCAGGUAGACAUGCCUAGGUCUACAAGCACAUCAUUGAAAUACACCCGUACCCCGACUCUGUGGUGUUACUUAGCUGCGUAUUUGAUCCUCCCUUCCGUCCUGCCAACUGGUACAAUUCACGCAUCGUACUGCCUGAAAUCCAGAUAUUAGCCCUAAAUGCAACUACCUGCAAUUGACGAAUGUUCUGCAUAAAGAUAUUGUUAACCCCCCCACCACCAUAAAUCGAAAUGAAAAUUGCGACAUGUGCAUUGAAUAUGACUUACCCAUAAGCCAUAACCAGCGCUCCAUCAUCGCGUGCUUGUUCAAGCGUCGGA